rnacentral:rRNA from 1 species
AACGAACGCUGGCGGCACGUUUUAAGCAUGCAAGUCGAAUGGCAGUGGGGGCAACCCCAUGAGAAUGGCGAACGGGUGAGUAACACGUAGGUGAUCUGCCUCACGGAUGGGGAUAGCUUGUGGAAACACAGGGUAAUACCGAAUGAGCUGACGAGACUUUGGUUUUGUUAGUAAAGGUGCUACGGCACCGCCGACAGAGGAGCCUGCGGCUGAUUAGCUAGUUGGUGGGGUAAAGGCCUACCAAGGCGACGAUCAGUAGCCGGCCUGAGAGGGGUGACGGCCACCCGGGAACGGAGACACGGUCCAGACGCCGGCGGGAGGCAGCAGCUAAGGAUCGUCCGCAAUGGGCGAAAGCCUGACGGAGCGAUGCCGCGUGAUCGAUGAAGGUCGAGAGAUUGUAAAGAUCUUUUCUACAUGAGGAAUAAGUCUGGGGGGGAAUGCCUGGAUGAUGACGUUAGUGUAGGAAUAAGCCCCGGCUAAUUACGUGCCAGCCGCCGCAGUAA